CCUACGGGGGCAGCAGUGGGGAAUAUUGGACAAUGGGCGAAAGCCUGAUCCAGCCAUGCCGCGUGUGUGAAGAAGGCCUUCGGGUUGUAAAGCACUUUCAGUGGGGAAGAAAGCCUUGGGGCUAAUACCCUCGAGGAAGGACAUCACCCACAGAAGAAGCACCGGCUAACUCCGUGCCAGCAGCCGCGGUAAUACGGAGGGUGCGAGCGUUAAUCGGAAUUACUGGUCGUAAAGCGCGCGUAGGCGGUCUGAUAAGCCGGUUGUGAAAGCCCCGGGCUCAACCUGGGAACGGCAUCCGGAACUGUCAGGCUAGAGUGCAGGAGAGGAAGGUAGAAUUCCCGGUGUAGCGGUGAAAUGCGUAGAGAUCGGGAGGAAUACCAGUGGCGAAGGCGGCCUUCUGGACUGACACUGACGCUGAGGUGCGAAAGCGUGGGUAGCAAACAGGAUUAGAUACCCUUGUAGUC
rnacentral:rRNA from 1 species